rnacentral:misc_RNA from 1 species
UCUCCGUUGGUGAACCAGCGGAGGGAUCAUUACAGGACUCGCAAGACUCCUACAACCCUGUGAACUUAACUAUAAGCACGUUGCUUCGGCGGGUGUCUCGGAGGGGGUUCUCCCUCCCCGAGACGCUAAACCCGCCGGCAGCCUACUAUACUCUGUCUCUUUGCGUUGGCAUCUCGAGUACAAUCAAACAAGUUAAAACUUUCAACAACGGAUCUCUUGGUUCUGGCAUCGAUGAUGAACGCAGC